CUUUUCACAUCUUCAAAUUUCUUCCAUUUAUAUUUUUCAUUGUCAGUUUCCAGUGCAGCUUAACUCUGAGUGUGCUGAAGCUUGAAAUGUAGCUUCCGAUUUAUAAUAGCGACAGGACAUGCAGCAAAUGUCAACAAAUCCCCUGUCACCCAGGCAAGGAGGAAAUGUGAGAGAAAUGUCCAAGUCUCCUAAUAAAGGUGGGAAAGCUGCAAGUGAGCCACAAUGGAAGAUGAUGAAGCUCCAACUGGCAAGGAACAAUAUGUUCACAGUAGAUGAAAGUGUGGCAGCUCUUUUAGGUCCUCGACUACUGCGUGGAUGUUUUCUGUAG
rnacentral:lncRNA from 1 species